CUUCUUGAAGUGGCAACUAGUCAAGAACAAGGCGGCGGAGAUGGUCGAAGAGAUGGCCAACAACAUUCCCGAGCUUAAGGACAGGCUGCAUUUCCCUCGCGGCCCGAACAACCUGCACCACGUUGCGCCCAUUGGAUCCAGCUUUCAUCGAAGGCGUAUUGCGAAGAACUUAUGACGGCAACAAUCAACCGAUCUUGCCCAGUUCUAUCUUCAGCUGAAGAAGAGGCUGCCUUCUUCAAUUCAGGGGGGAAGUACUGUUUUUUCAGGAUCAGAAACGAUACAAAAGGAGCCAUUGAUUGCACUACUUGAGAAAGCUUUGCAAGCUGGUAGGCAUUCAUUGCUUGAGCAAGGCCGUCCCCCUGAAUAUCCUUUCAAAGAAGGUUUUCCGCUCGUGAAGAUGUUCGCUUUGCCCCCAUUCAUGGCCAAACCCCUCAGAGGCCAAGUACGUCAACCUGAACAUUCAUCGAAACAAGAUGCUCCAGAGUUCUGCUGUCGUCACAUAUAUAGAAACUCGCAACCCCCCCUGAAUAUCCUUCCAAAGAAGUUCUGGAGAGCAGGCAAGGCUACCAACUCGGUGGCGGUGACCUCUGUCUGACUAAAUGCUGGCAUUGGCGUUGCUCGGGUGCUGAUCAGUUGAAGUGAAGAGACCUUUUAUUACCUUGCAUGAAGGAACUUAGUGAGUUAGUGCCAUGAAUCUGUCGGAAUAAGUUAGCAUGGCUUUGCCAGUACUACCCGGGGCUUUGAGCCACCUGGAACCGGAGCAGAAGAAACAGUUAAAUAGAGUAUAGGGCACCUCGCAGUUCUUGAAGCAUGCCGAGUUCUAUUUUCCUUCACAGCUUGUUUAUAACCAGGAGCAGCUUUCGGAAGCUCUUGGAUAUUGUCACCUGUAAAUAACUAAAUAUUGACCGGCCGGUAAAGAUGGUCAAGCGUCUAGCACGAGCAAAC